UACAGAGGUCUCAAGCGUUGUUCGGAUUCAUUGGGCGUAAAGGGCGCGUAGGCGGGAUGGCAAGUCGGUCGUGAAAUCCCUCGGCUCAACCGAGGAACGUCGAUCGAUACUGAGAGUCUUGAGUCCGGGAGAGGUGAGUGGAACUGCGAGUGUAGAGGUGAAAUUCGUAGAUAUUCGCAAGAACACCAGUGGCGAAGGCGGCUCACUGGCCCGGUACUGACGCUGAGGUGCGAAAGCGUGGGGAGCAAACAGG
rnacentral:rRNA from 1 species